AUUGAACGCUGGCGGCAGGCUUAACACAUGCAAGUCGAGCGGAGAUGAGGUGCUUGCACCUUAUCUUAGCGGCGGACGGGUGAGUAAUGCUUAGGAAUCUGCCUAUUAGUGGGGGACCACAUUCCGAAAGGAAUGCUAAUACCGCAUACGUCCUACGGGAGAAAGCAGGGGAUCUUCGGACCUUGCGCUAAUAGAUGAGCCUAAGUCGGAUUAGCUAGUUGGUGGGGUAAAGGCCUACCAAGGCGACGAUCUGUAGCGGGUCUGAGAGGAUGAUCCGCCACACUGGGACUGAGACACGGCCCAGACUCCUACGGGAGGCAGCAGUGGGGAAUAUUGGACAAUGGGGGGAACCCUGAUCCAGCCAUGCCGCGUGUGUGAAGAAGGCCUUAUGGUUGUAAAGCACUUUAAGCGAGGAGGAGGCUACAGAGACUAAUACUCUUGGAUAGUGGACGUUACUCGCAGAAUAAGCACCGGCUAACUCUGUGCCAGCAGCAGCCGCCGUA
rnacentral:rRNA from 1 species